rnacentral:rRNA from 1 species
UGAAGAAUUUGUCCAACGGCGGGGGAUAGCCGGCCCAACGGCCGGGUAAUACCGCGUACGACCUUCGGGGGGCGAUCCCCUGAUGGUGAAAGCCGCAAGGCGCCGAUGGAGAACUUCGCGGCCUAUCAGCUAGUCGGUGAGGUCAUGGCUCACCAAGGCGACGACGGGUAGCUGGUCUGAGAGGACGACCAGCCACACUGGAACUGAGAUACGGUCCAGACCUCCGUACGGGGAGCAG